rnacentral:snoRNA from 1 species
ACAUAGUAAUGGAUUAAUGGUGGGCCCUUCCAUGUGGUCUCCUUCUAAUGAGUCCAUGCCUGAAUAAACUCUAUAGCCUUAAACCAUUACCUAGCUAUCUGCCUCUGGGCUAUGAGCACAGUUGUACAGUU